rnacentral:lncRNA from 1 species
GUAAUGGACUUUUUCUAGUAGAAUGGAUUUCCUUGUUACCUUUUUGAUGCUUGUGUUAAAUGACUCCUAUUUCCCACACCGGUUUGCUUGCUCAACCAACUUAGUCAUAGUUUUGAUUAACUGCUCAUAAGGAAGGGGUCCUUGGCUCAGACCACAAGUUGAGGCCUCGGUGUUCGAAGUUGGUUAGGAGUAACACCGUCGAUAGUGAACCUGGACUCAUUCGAUGAGGCCAAGUCACCAUCACCAUCUUAACCUGAUCUCUAUGGGGAUGUUUGGGAAGAUCCCGAUAAGGUCUUGUCUGAAGUUGAUAUCUAGUAGAUUUAUGAUAAUUUUAUCAAGUCACCAUCGUCAUCUUAAUCUGAUCCCUAUAGGGAUGUUCGAAAAUAUUCUGAUGAGAUCUUGUCCAAAGUUGAUACCUAGUCGAUCCAUGACAAUUUUGCCAAGUCACCGUCAUCGUCUUAAUCGAUCCCUACAGGGAUGUUCAGGAAGAUCCCAAUAAGAUCUUGUCCAAAGUUGAUAUCCAAUUGAUCCAUGACAAUUUUGCCAAGUUGCCGUCAUUGUCUUAACUUGAUCCCUAUGGAAAUAUUCGAAAAGAUCCUGAUGAGGUCUUGUCUGAAGUCGAUAUCUAAUUGAUCCGAUGCAAUUUUGCAAAGUCACCAUUGUCAUCUCAACCCAGUUCCUAUGGGAAUGUUUGGGAAGAUCCUGAUGAAAUCUCAUCCGAAGUCAAUAUCCAAUCGGUUCAUAGCAAUUUCACCAAGUCACCAUCAUUG